rnacentral:rRNA from 1 species
GAACGAUGCUUUCGGGCAUAGUGGCGCACGGGUGCGUAACGCGUGGGAAUCUGCCCCUUGGUUCGGAAUAACAGUUAGAAAUGACUGCUAAUACCGGAUGACGACGUAAGUCCAAAGAUUUAUCGCCGAGGGAUGAGCCCGCGUAGGAUUAGCUAGUUGGUGUGGUAAAGGCGCACCAAGGCGACGAUCCUUAGCUGGUCUGAGAGGAUGAUCAGCCACACUGGGACUGAGACACGGCCCAGACUCCUACGGGAGGCAGCAGUGGGGAAUAUUGGACAAUGGGCGCAAGCCUGAUCCAGCAAUGCCGCGUGAGUGAUGAAGGCCUUAGGGUUGUAAAGCUCUUUUACCCGGGAUGAUAAUGACAGUACCGGGAGAAUAAGCCCCGGCUAACUCCGUG